UCCGAAGCUGGAGGAAGAGGCCGUUUGACGCGAGGUACGGGUCGUCUGUAGACACCGAGAAAGCAACAGAAGACGCUCUCCUCCCGGAGCCCCCAGAGCAGAACGCAGUGCAGCAGAUGCCAUAGUUUAAGCACAAAGAGACCCGUUUUGUCUUCUGAGACCCUGAACGGCCAUUGGAUUGGGAAUAAAGAACAAAACCAUCUUCAUCAGAGAAUCGUUAUCAAGAAAGACUACAUGGUAAAUGGUAUCCAAAUGAUGACUGAUCAUCUCCACUAUCCCAUAAGAAUUUGACGACGGCAACUGUAAGCUUGUCUACUAUAACGUAAGGACCGUGCUGAUGCAGAAUGAAGGCAAGCCUGAACCCAGACUAGCAUUCAAAAAACUUAAUUUAGGGAACUGGUGGAAUGCCACAAGUCCUUCCAUCUGGUCAACCAGGAUGAUGGCAGGCAGGGAGGAUGGAAUGUGAACUGGAGGGAUAAUAAGGGCAAACUGGAACCUGCAAGAAUAAUCCAGGACUCAGAAGGAAAAAGUAGAAAUCAUAUUUCCUGUCAUCUCAUCUGGCACGCAGUGGAACAAUACCCGUCAACACAGAACUGUUCACACACAUCAGUCAGUGUUCAGAGAAGGCAAAAGUGCACUGGUAUGCCCACAUGGACCUCAGGCCAACCC